GAUGAACGCUGGCGGCGUGCCUAAUACAUGCAAGUCGAGCGAACAGAUGAGGAGCUUGCUCCUCUGACGUUAGCGGCGGACGGGUGAGUAACACGUGGAUAACCUACCUAUAAGACUGGGAUAACUUCGGGAAACCGGAGCUAAUACCGGAUAAUAUAUUGAACCGCAUGGUUCAAUAGUUAAAGACGGUUUUGCUGUCACUUAUAGAUGGAUCCGCGCCGCAUUAGCUAGUUGGUAAGGUACCGGCUUACCAAGGCAACGAUGCGUAGCCGACCUGAGAGGGUGAUCGGCCACACUGGAACUGAGACACGGUCCAGACUCCUACGGGAGGCAGCAGUAGGGAAUCUUCCGCAAUGGGCGAAAGCCUGACGGAGCAACGCCGCGUGAGUGAUGAAGGUCUUCGGAUCGUAAAACUCUGUUAUUAGGGAAGAACAAAUGUGUAAGUAACUAUGCACGUCUUGACGGUACCUAAUCAGAAAGCCACGGCUAACUACGUG
rnacentral:rRNA from 1 species